UACGUAGGGCGCAAGCGUUAUCCGGAAUUAUUGGGCGUAAAGAGCUCGUAGGCGGUUUGUCGCGUCUGCCGGUGAAAGUCCGGGCUCAACUCCGGAUCUGCGGUGGGUACGGGCAGACUAGAGUGAUGUAGGGGAGACUGGAAUUCCUGGUGUAGCGGUGAAAUGCGCAGAUAUCAGGAGGAACACCGGUGGCGAAGGCGGGUCUCUGGGCAGUGAACUGACGUGGAGGAGCGAAAGCGUGGGGAGCGAACAGG
rnacentral:rRNA from 1 species